AACGCAUAUUGCACUCUAUUCUGUAGAGUAUGCCUGUUUGAGAAUCUAUAGUAUUUCUUUUAGAAUUUUUUUUUUGAAAAUUCUAAAGAUAUGAGGUGUUUCUCUUUUUUGAAAAAGAGUACCUUUAAAUAGAUUAACUGUAAUUUAAGUGAAUGUUUGACGUCUCUUAAACAACAGAACAGUAUUUGAAUGGUUAUUUUGACCUCAAUACCUAAUAUGUUUGUCUAGAGAAAUAGUUUAUUUAAAUUAUGGUUCCAAAUUUUAUAAAGAAAAAGAUUUAAUCUUUUUUUUUGAACCUUGGUCUCAAAUCAGGUAGGAGGACCCGCUGAACUUAA
rnacentral:misc_RNA from 1 species